GGUGAAAAGCGCAGCAGGAAUGUAAUUAUAAGCUGUAGUUUUGUUACAAGAAUGCUGCUCCUCCCUUUUGCCAUAAUAAUGUAUGUUGAUUUUGCUUUCAUGUUUGAUUGUGCAAAUGACGAAGUCUGAAGUAAAAAAAGAAUUAAAGUUAAAACCAGUGUUUCCAACCCUCCCGGUCCCGCCCUAAGUUAUUAAAGUCAGAGAAGCUCUAACACCUCCAUCAUUUAUCCUAAACUCCUAGAACAUCUCACACACAGGUAACAAAAACUGCACGAUUAACAGAUACAUAAGCACAUAAAGAUCACGGAUGAGGAGUAAAUGGAUUUAUGUGGCUAUCCUGGGGAUAGCAUGCAUGAUGCUUGGAGUCAAUGGGAGCAAUACAACAAGCAGUAGCAACUCUACAGACAGCUGGAUAUCUUCUAACAUGACCACCAGCCUGACCCAGACGCUACCAACCAACAUGACCACCAACCUGACCCAGACACUACCACCCAACAUUACCACCAACCUGACCCAGACGAACCCACCCAGCAUGACCACCAACCUAAACCAGGUCGGUCCCUUCAACAUAACUUCAAACUUAACUCAAACAGGACCUCCCAACAUAAACCUUAACCUUACCCAGAUGGGUCCUCUCAACAUGACCACCAGCCUUACCCAGACUGGCCCUCUUAAUAUGACUACAAACCCAUCCCUGAUGGGCCCUCUCAACAUGACCACAAACCCCGACCAGUUAAGCCCUUUUAACAUGACCACAAACCCAACCCAGAUUGGCCCUCUUAAUAUGACUACAAACCUAUCCCAGAUGGGCCCUCUCAACAUGACCACAAACCCGAACCAGAUGAGCCCUUUUAAUAUGACCACAAACCCAACCCAGAUGGGCCCUUUCAACAUGACCGCUAACCUGACACAAACACACCCUUCCAACAUAACCACCAACCUGCCCCAAACACAAACUCCCAACAUAACCACCAACCUGACCCAGACAAACCCUCCCAACACAACCACCAACCUGACCCAGACACACCCUCCUAACAUAACCGCCAACCUGCCUCAAACACACCCUCCUAACACAACCACCAACCUGACCCAAACACACCCUCCCAACAUAAGCGCUAACCUGACCCAAACACACCCUCCCAACAUAACCGCUAUCCUGCCCCAAACAUACCCUCCCAACAUAACCACCAACCUGACCCAGACAAACCCUCCAAACAUAACCACCAACCUGACCCAGACACACCCUCCCAACAUAACCGCCAACCUGACCCAGACACACCCUCCCAACAUAACCGCAACCUGACCCAGACAAACCCUCCAAACAUAACCGCUAACCUGACCCAGACAAACCCUCCAAACAUAACCGCUAACCUGACCCAGACAAGGCCUCCCAAUAUUACCACAAACCCGAUCCAGACAGGCCCCCUCACCAUAACAAAUAUUAUAACAACAUCAGGCUCUAAUACUCUGUCACCAGACAUCACUGGCAGGGAUAACUGCAAGAGGGAUAGGGCAUGUUUCUCCGCUCCACCUUCCUGUAAUCCAGGUGCAGAAGGUUCCUGCUAUUUUCUUUCCACAAGAGGAGUAAGCGGAAAUGCAGAUAAUUUUACUUUUGAGCUGAGUGGCGAGACAGAUGGUUACAUUGGAGCUGGCCUCUCUCGAGACAGCAGUGGUCAAGGUGCCACCGUCUAUUCUUGUGCCAAAUUCAAUGGUGCACUGAGGUUAAUUCGUUCCACACUGAACAAUCAAAUAUUGAUGCAGGAUAAUACAUUUAUCCCUGGAAGCUUCCAAGGCUCAGUCAUUGGUAGAAAGAUUCAAUGCAUUUUCAAUGCUGCAGGUCUCAGCAGCACCACCCGUUCUGCAACCACAGACACUUUUGUCUUCCUUGUAACAGGCAGCAUAUUAAAUGGUUCUCUGGAUUAUCCAGUCAGUAGACUGACCACAAAUGGGGCAGUGGACUUAAGCAACCCCAACAGCACAGACGUUUCAGUAAUAACACCCAGUACAAAUGCCACUGCAUCUAAUACCACAGCAACAUCAACCACCACUGCAGCAUCUACAAACUUGACCCAGACGAUACUUCCCAACAUAACCGUCAACCUGACCCAGACAAACCCUACCAACAUAACCGCCAACCUGACCCAGACAAACCCUCCCAACAUAACCGCCAACCUGACCCAGACACACCCUCCCAACAUAACCGCCAACCUGACCCAGACAAACCCUCCCAACAUAACCGUCAACCUGACCCAGGCAAACCCUCCCAACAUAACCGCCAACCUGACCCAGACAAACCCUCCCAACAUAACCUCUAACCUGACCCAGACAAGGCCUCCCAAUAUUACCACAAACCCGACCCAGACAGGCCCCCUCACCAUAUCAAAUAUUAUAACAACAUCAGGCUCUAAUACUCUGUCACCAGACAUCACUGGCAGGGAUAACUGCAGGAGGGAUAGGGCAUGUUUCUCCGCUCCACCUUCCUGUAAUCCAGGUGCAGAAGGUUCCUGCUAUUUUCUUUCCACAAGAGGAGUAAGCGGAAAUGCAGAUAAUUUUACUUUUGAGCUGAGUGGCGAGACAGAUGGUUACAUUGGAGCUGGCCUCUCUCGAGACAGCAGUGGUCAAGGUGCCACCGUCUAUUCUUGUGCCAAAUUCAAUGGUGCACUGAGGUUAAUUCGUUCCACACUAAACAAUCAAAUAUUGAUGCAGGAUAAUACGUUUAUCCCUGGAAGCUUCCGAGGCUCAGUCAUUGGUAGAAAGAUUCAAUGCAUUUUCAAUGCUGCAGGUCUCAGCAGCACCACCCGUUCUGCAACCACAGACACUUUUGUCUUCCUUUUAACAGGCAGCAUAUCAAAUGGUUCUCUGGAUUCUCCAGUCAGUAGACUGACCACAAAUGGGUCAGUGGACUUAAGCAACCCCAACAGCACAGACGUUUCAGUAAUAACACCCAGUACAAAUGCCACUGCAUCUAAUACCACAGCAACAUCAACCACCACUGCAGCAUCUACAAACUUGACCCAGACGGUAUUUCCCAACAUAACCGCCAACCUGACCCAGACAAACCCUCCCAACAUUACCGCCAACCUGACCCAGACACACCCUCCCAACAUAACCGCCAACCUGACCCAGACACACCCUCCCAACAUAACCGCCAACCUGUCCCAGACAAACCCUCCCAACAUAACCGCCAACCUGACCCAGACAAACCCUCCCAACAUAACCGCCAACCUGACCCAGACAAACCCUCCCAACAUAACCGCCAACCUGACCCAGACAAACCCUCCCAACAUAACCGCCAACCUGACCCAGACAAACCCUCCCAACAUAACCGUCAACCUGACCCAGACACACCCUCCCAACAUAACCGCCAACCUGACCCAGACACACCCUCCCAACAUAACCGCCAACCUGACCCAGACACACCCUCCCAACAUAACCGCCAACCUGACCCAGACAAACCCUCCCAACAUAACCGCCAACCUGACCCAGACAAACCCUCCCAACAUAACCGCCAACCAGACUCAAACACGCCCUUCCACCGUGAUUGCUAACCUGACUGCGACACCAUCAGGCUCUAAUACCUUGAACAACAGCAACGUCAAUAAUCUAUCACUAGAUAUCACUGGCAGGGAUAACUGCAGGAGGGAUAGAGCAUGUUUCUCUGCUCCACCUACUUGUAAUCCAGGUGCACAAGAUUCCUGUUAUUUCCUAUCUGCAAAAGGAGUAAGCGGAAGUGCAGAUAAUUUUACCUUUGAACUCAGUGGCGAGUCAGAUGGUUACAUUGGAGCUGGCCUCUCUCGAGACAACAGUGGUCAAGGAGCCACUGUCUAUUCUUGCGCCAACAUCAAUGGUGCACUGAAGUUCUUCCGUUCCACACUGAACAAUCAAAGACUGGCUCAGGAUAACACUUUCAUCCCUGGAAGUUUCCGUGGUUCGGUGAAUAGAGGAAAGAUUCAGUGCAUUUUCAAUGCUGCAGGUCUCGGCAGCAUCACUCGUGCGGCAACCACAGACACUUAUGUCUUCUUUUUAACAGGCAGUGUCUCAAAUGGCUCUCUGGAUUCUCCAGUCACUAGACUGACUACAAAUGGGUCAGUGGACUUAAGCAACCCUAACAGCACAGAUGUUUCAGUAAUAACACCCAGUACAAAUGCCACCACAACAGCCCCGAACAUCACCACAUCUAGUUCCUCUUUAGCAUUAAACACCACUACAGCCCCGAACACCACCGCAUCUAAUUCCACUGCAUCCUCAAAUACUACUGCAUCAUCAAAUGCCACUGCAUCUAAUGCCUCUGGAUUAUCUACAGCUAAUAAUGUUACAACAAAUGAUAAGGUCACCAAGGACAACUGUAAAAAGGACAGGGCAUGUUUCUCCACUCCAGCCAACUGUGAUCCAUCAAGCUCAAGUAGCUGCAUUUUUGCCUCCACAAGAGUGGUGAACGGAAACUUAGACAAUCUCACUUUUGAGCUCAGUGGGGAUUCAAAUGGUUACAUCGCAGUUGGCCUGUCUCGAGACAAGAAGGAGGGUGAUGAUGACACUGUCUACUCUUGUGCCAAUGACAAUGGUGUGGCGAAGUUCAUUCGUGCCACUCUGAACAACAACAUUCUGACUCCAGAUAAGACUUUUAACCCUGGAUCCUUCCGUGGCUCUGUGAACGGCACAAGGAUUCAGUGCAUUUUUGUAGCUGCAGGUCUCAGCAGCAACGCCCGUGCGGCAAACACAAAUGCUUUCCUCUAUUUCUUCACUGGCAACUUUACAAAUGGCACUUUAGGGUCUCCAGUCACACGAAUGUUUACAAAUUCAUUGGUUGAUCUAACCAACACUAGCAGCUCAGACGUUGCCAUAAUAACACCCACUACAAGCACAGAUAAUACUACCACUAUUACGACUACUACAGCAAAACCUGCUACUACAGCAGGGAGCAAUGCACUGCAUCAUGCUGCAUCUCAGGCUGCUCUGGUAAUUCUCUCAGGGAUCCUUGCAGUGCUCCUGUUGUAAGGAUUCUGCCAACACAUUUGCUUUCUGAAACUGGUCGAUGAGCACUGAACGCUUGAUGAACCCAACACCAAAGUAUAUGUAAUUCAGCAUAUUUAUAACUGUGCAAUAAUGCGACUCUGGGAACAAUGAAGAAAGAAGCAGAAAAUAUGGGGAAGAGGGCAUUACAUUAUUUAUUUAAUCUUAGUGUUUGUGUGUGAGAGAUUGUGUUUAUGAAUGUUUUUGCGAGCGUUAGUGUUUGUAUUCUGCUAAUGUACUGCUAUUUAAAAUCAGGCUCCUGCACAGAGAGGGCUGAUGAAAAUUAAAAUCAGUAUAUUAAUAUAAUUGUGCAAGUGUGAGCCAUCAUGUGGCUAAAAUGAUCUAAGAUAAUUGUUUUCAAAUGUCUUAAUUUAUUGUUACUGUUGCCUCAAACCAUUGAUUUCCUGUAAGUUAUAAAUAUAGUCUUUUUUUUUUAAUAUGCAUAAUAAAAUGUUCAAGUAAAAAAAAUGAAACUGGUAGAUCAGUGUUUGGACUAAAGGUUAAAGUGGCAAAGAACAAACUAAAUGCAAACAGCAUGCAUAGUCAGGAUAGUAAAUUAGUGAAACACUUCCCAUAUUGUUGAUCAAAGUCUGCACAUGCAAUCAAGCACUACGGUUUUUCACAAGACAUUUGUGACACUUGGUAGAAGUCGAAUUAGACGCAACAUGGACAGGUUAUGUAGCAUUCUCAUGCACAAAAACUAUGAACAAAACCACCCACCAAUCAAACGUGUUUAUUUUUAAAUAAUUAAUCAUCUUAGUACUGUGUUGGGUCACCAAAUUGUGGACAGAUAAAGUGCUUAAUAUUCAAAUCACUUCAAAGGCAAUGC
ensembl:lncRNA